GAUGAACGCUGACGGCGUGCCUAAUACAUGCAAGUCGAGCGAACAGACGAGGAGCUUGCUCCUCUGACGUUAGCGGCGGACGGGUGAGUAACACGUGGAUAACCUACCUAUAAGACUGGGAUAACUUCGGGAAACCGGAGCUAAUACCGGAUAAUAUAUUGAACCGCGUGGUUCAAUAGUGAAAGACGGUUUUGCUGUCACUUAUAGAUGGAUCCGCGCCGCAUUAGCUAGUUGGUAAGGUAACGGCUUACCAAGGCAACGAUGCGUAGCCGACCUGAGAGGGUGAUCGGCCACACUGGAACUGAGACACGGUCCAGACUCCUACGGGAGGCAGCAGUAGGGAAUCUUCCGCAAUGGGCGAAAGCCUGACGGAGCAACGCCGCGUGAGUGAUGAAGGUCUUCGGAUCGUAAAACUCUGUUAUUAGGGAAGAACAAAUGUGUAAGUAACUAUGCACGUCUUGACGGUACCUAAUCAGAAAGCCACGGCUAACUACGUG
rnacentral:rRNA from 1 species